CGAGAGGGCGAGAGGCCCAUCCGCGCAACGAAAGCGAAUGGCGGGACGCUCUCCUGCGAGGGGGCGGCGCCGCCGGCCGGACGUCCUCGAGGCGGACCGAGCCGGAGCGCUCGCGUCGGGACCCGAAAGGUGGUGAUCUAUCCGUGCGCGCGGCGAAGCCGGGGGAAAACCCCGGUGGAGGCCCGUCGACGGUACUGACGUGCAAAUCGUUCGUCCGACGUGCGAAUAGGGGCGAAAGACCAAUCGAACCUCCUAGUAGCUGGUUUCCGCCGAAAUUUCCCUCAGGAUAGCGGCCAUCGCGGAAACGUUUUGACCGGUAGAGCGAACGACUAGAGGUACCGGGGCCGUAACGGCCUCGACCUAUUCUCGAACUCCGAACGGGCAAGGAGCCGGGGUCGCCCGAUCGGACCCCCGGACGUGAAGUCGACG
rnacentral:rRNA from 1 species